AGCAAUUACUGUGUGCUAAAUGGAAUGCUAAAUGUUUCAUGGAAAUUAUUUCAAUUCAACUUUGAAUCCAUCUAUGAUCUUGGAGGAUGCGAUCAUUCCUGUUUUAUGGGGAGAGGCCCAAGAGAGGGCUACAAAGCGACUUGCGCAUGGCUGCUUAGAAAAUCUCAGAGCUUCCUGCUUCAAAGCGUAUCAUCUGCUCCGUUACUGCCUUUCACAAAGACUCAAAGCAAGACAAUAAUUUGUGCAGCACAAACUGAAUUUCCAAAAAGAA